rnacentral:rRNA from 1 species
CAUGGCUGUCGUCAGCUCGUGUCGUGAGAUGUUGGGUUAAGUCCCGCAACGAGCGCAACCCUUGUCUUAUGUUGCCAGCACGUGAUGGUGGGGACGUCGUAAGAGACUGCCGGGGUCAACUCGGAGGAAGGUGGGGACGACGUCAAGUCAUCAUGCCCCUUAUGUCCAGGGCUUCACACAUGCUACAAUGGCCAGUACAGAGGGCUGCGAGACCGUGAGGUGGAGCGAAUCCCUUAAAGCUGGUCUCAGUUCGGAUCGGGGUCUGCAACUCGACCCCGUGAAGUCGGAGUCGCUAGUAAUCGCAGAUCAGCAACGCUGCGGUGAAUACGUUCCCGGGCCUU